rnacentral:rRNA from 1 species
GACGAACGCUGGCGGCGUGCUUAACACAUGCAAGUCGAACGGAAAGGCCCUGCUUUUGUGGGGUGCUCGAGUGGCGAACGUGUGAGUAACACGUGAGUAACCUUCCCUUUACUUUUUGAUAACUUCAGGAAACUGGGGCUAAUACCUGAUAGGAGCUCCUGCUGCAUGGUGGGGGUUGGAAAGUUUCGGCGGUUGGGGAUGGACUCGCGGCUUAUCAGCUUGUUGGUGGGGUAGUGGCUUACCAAGGCUUUGACGGGUAGCCGGCCUGAGAGGGUGACCGGCAACAAUGGGACUGAGAGACGGACCAGACUCCUACGGGAGGCAGCAGUGGGGAAUAUGGAACAAUGGGCGGAAGCCUGAUGAAGCAACGCCGCGUGAGGGAAGAAGGCCUUCGGGGUGUAAACCGCUGUAGCCUGUGACGAAGCGUGAGUGACGGUAAUGGGUAAAGAAGCACCGGCUAACUACGUG